ACUCUAGUAACUCUGAAGAAUCCAAAAGCCGGUUUAACCUCUGUUGAUGAUAGCCUCUCCACAAAGUAUCAAGAGGAACUUUGGGAAACCAAGCAGAGAAAAGAAGAGAUUGCAAAAGAGAAGAGUAUCCUUCUGUCUGAAGGGGAAAGAGAUGCAAAGGAGGAGCUCCUGAGCCAAGUAGAAAUUCAAGAGAGCAUCGAUAAAAUCAACAAGCUUGCUGCUAUCGAUGAAAUCAAUGCUGUGAUUCGAAAAGGUCAUCCCAGUGACACCAUGACUGCACUCAUGAAACCUG